AUUGAACGCUGGCGGCAGGCCUAACACAUGCAAGUCGAACGAGUGGCGGACGGGUGAGUAAUGUCUGGGAAACUGCCUGAUGGAGGGGGAUAACUACUGGAAACGGUAGCUAAUACCGCACACCAUCAGAUGUGCCCAGAUGGGAUUAGCUAGUCGGUGGGGUAACGGCUCACCAAGGCGACGUUCCCUAGCUGGUCCGAGAGGAUGACCAUCCACACUGGAACGGAGACUCGGUCAAGACUCCUACGGGAGGCAGCCGUGGGGAAUGUUUCACAAUGGGCGCAAGCCUGAUGCAGCCCUGCCGCGUGUAUGCAGAAGGACUUCGGGUUGUAAUGUACUUUCAGCGGGGAGGCUUUACCCGCAGAAGAAGCGCCGGCUAACUCCGUGCCCGCAGCCGCGGUAAUAC
rnacentral:rRNA from 1 species